rnacentral:rRNA from 1 species
GAUGAACGCUGGCGGCGUGCUUAACACAUGCAAGUCGAACGAAGCACUCUAUUUGAUUUUCUUCGGAAAUGAAGAUUUUGUGACUGAGUGGCGGACGGGUGAGUAACGCGUGGGUAACCUGCCUCAUACAGGGGGAUAACAGUUGGAACGACUGCUAAUACCGAAUACGUUCUUUUUGUCGCAUGGCAGAGGGAAGAAAGGGAGGCUCUUCGGAGCUUUCGCUGAAGGAGGGGCUUGCGUCUGAUUAGCUAGUUGGAGGGGUAACGGCCCCACCAAGGCGACGAUCAGUAGCCGGCCUGAGAGGGUGAACGGCACAUUGGGACUGAGACACGGCCCAGACUCCUACGGGGAGGCAGCAGUUGGGGGAAUCUUCCGCAAUGGACGAAAGUCUGACGGAGCAACGCCGCGUGAACGAUGACGGCCUCGGUUGUAAGUCUAUCAGCNGGAAGAAAAUAGACGGUAACCUGACUAAGAAG